rnacentral:sRNA from 1 species
CAAGCGGCAGUGGGUUCGCCGCUGCUGUAGUUCCCCGGCUGGCUGCGGUCACUGGUGCCAGUGCUCAGGCGCCUGCUGCCCUUGACCUCCCGCCCCGCGAGCCCUAACUCAGCUCAGGAGGACCGGCUGCCGCCGCCGCCGCCGCCAGAGCCUUGGCUGUCCAGUUGCCAGUCCUACCACGGUCGGAGGUAACCUUCCUGGCUCCAGUCACACGGCCAGAUAAGGUGGUGUGUGUGGGCAUGAAUUAUGUGGACCACUGCAAAGAACAGAACGUGCCCGUGCCCAAGGAGCCCAUCAUCUUCAGCAAGUUUGCCAGCUCCAUCGUGGGGCCCUAUGAUGAGGUGGUCCUCCCACCACAGAGCCAGGUGACCUCAAUUUGGCCAAUGAGGGACCUUCAGGUUUGUUCCAUCCCCAAGCUUUUAGCAUAUAUUUGCUUUCUGGCCAAGACGUUCCAGGCUUAUCAUGUACUGUCUGUCUUGGACCAAGGAACCCGGUGCUCUUUAGUGGGGAGUGGUAUUACAGACCAACAUCUGGAUGUCGGGUGUACUUACACCAACUCUGGUUAUUAUUAGAAAGAGCCACCAAUUUUAAAGGCCAAAUUAUAUCUAUUUUAUAGUGUAUUUUAUGGAUUAUGGGAGAGGCUGAGCAUUUUUUCAUGUUUUGUGGCCAUGUCCAUUACCUUUUUGUGAAUUGCUCACUCAAGUCCUUUGUGGGAUGUCAAUCUUUCUCUUACUAAAGUGAGUUAACAGAUUAAAACACUUAGAAUAGUGCCUCA